GACGGAGGAUGCAAGCGUUAUCCGGAAUGAUUGGGCGUAAAGCGUCCGCAGGUGGCAGUUCAAGUCUGCUGUCAAAGACCGGGGCUUAACUUCGGAAAGGCAGUGGAAACUGAACAGCUGGAGUACGGUAGGGGCAGAGGGAAUUUCCGGUGGAGCGGUGAAAUGCGUAGAGAUCGGAAAGAACACCAACGGCGAAAGCACUCUGCUGGGCCGACACUGACACUGAGAGACGAAAGCUAGGGGAGCGAGUGGG
rnacentral:rRNA from 1 species